rnacentral:rRNA from 1 species
UGGGGAAUAUUGGACAAUGGGCGCAAGCCUGAUCCAGCCAUGCCGCGUGAGUGAUGAAGGCCCUAGGGUUGUAAAGCUCUUUCAGCGAGGAGGAUAAUGACGUUACUCGCAGAAGAAGCCCCGGCUAACUUCGUGCCAGCAGCCGCGGUAAUACGAAGGGGGCUGGCGUUGUUCGGAAUCACUGGGCGUAAAGCGCACGUAGGCGGACUUUUAAGUCAGGGGUGAAAUCCCGGGGCUCAACCUCGGAACUGCCUUUGAUACUGGAAGUCUGGAGGCCGAGAGAGGUGAGUGGAAUUCCGAGUGUAGAGGUGAAAUUCGUAGAUAUUCGGAAGAACACCAGUGGCGAAGGCGGCUCACUGGCUCGGUACUGACGCUGAGGUGCGAAAGCGUGGGGAGCAAA